UCGUCGGAAGAGUACGAAGCGAAGGAAAGAAGUGCGGAAACUUUAUUGCAAAUCUUCAGCUUGCUGAUAUGGUCGUCUCUCUGGCUCAGGUCACCCGUCAGAGUUCGCACCUUAAAGUCCAGACCCUGAACACACCAUUGAACAGAAUUCAACUCUUGUGUGCAUUAAUCCAGCUGUUUCCAGUCUUGGCUAGUGUGGACUCUAGAGACUCCAGAUCUCUCUUCAGCUCAUUCAGUUCCCCU